ACUCUCAGAUCCACAUGGCAACACAAGCAGCUAAAACGCAGAUAGAAACCCCAACCUGGGAAAAGGAGUCCUACAGAAUGGAGACAAAGGAAAGCCAGCGAACGUGAAGACAGAUAAAUAGAAAAUAUCCACUCCGAAGAACGAAGAUAAAGAGGAAAAACAAGAACAAGCAUCACGGGCCAGCUGGGGUCGUAUCGAAAGGCCCAGCACAUACCUGGUUCCAGAAAGCAAGGAGGAGGUUGG
rnacentral:lncRNA from 1 species